rnacentral:rRNA from 1 species
GAGUUUGAUCCUGGCUCAGAUUGAACGCUGGCGGCAUGCCUUACACAUGCAAGUCGAACGGUAACAGGUCUUCGGAUGCUGACGAGUGGCGAACGGGUGAGUAAUACAUCGGAACGUGCCCGAUCGUGGGGGGAUAACGGAGCGAAAGCUUUGCUAAUACCGCAUACGAUCUACGGAUGAAAGCAGGGGACCGCAAGGCCUUGCGCGGACGGAGCGGCCGAUGGCAGAUUAGGUAGUUGGUGGGAUAAAAGCUUACCAAGCCGACGAUCUGUAGCUGGUCUGAGAGGACGACCAGCCACACUGGGACUGAGACACGGCCCAGACUCCUACGGGAGGCAGCAGUGGGGAAUUUUGGACAAUGGGCGAAAGCCUGAUCCAGCCAUGCCGCGUGCAGGAUGAAGGCCUCGGUGUAAC